rnacentral:rRNA from 1 species
AGGUAAGCUACUAAGAGCGAAUGGUGGAUGCCUUGACUGGUAAAGGCGAUGAAGGACGUACUAGACUGCGAUAAGCUACGGGGAGCUGUCAAGAAGCUUUGAUCCGUAGAUUUCCGAAUGGGGCAACCCAAUGUAUAGAGAUAUACAUUACCUAUAUAGGAGCGAACGAGGGGAAUUGAAACAUCUUAGUACCCUCAGGAAAAGAAAUCAAUAGAGAUUGCGUCAGUAGCGGCGAGCGAAAGCGCAAGAGGGCAAACCCAGUGCUUGCACUGGGGGUUGUAGGACUGCAAUGUGCAAGAGGUAAGUUUAGCAGAACAUUCUGGAAAGUAUAACCAUAGAGGGUGAUAGUCCCGUAUGCGAAAAACAAACCUUAGCUAGCAGUAUCCUGAGUAGGGCGGGACACGAGGAAUCCUGUCUGAAUCCGGGUCGACCACGAUCCAACCCUAAAUACUAAUACCAGAUCGAUAGUGCACAAGUACCGUGAGGGAAAGGUGAAAAGAACUGAGGUGAUCAGAGUGAAAUAGAACCUGAAACCAUUUGCUUACAAUCAUUCAGAGCCCUAUGUAGCAAUACAGGGUGAUGGACUGCCUUUUGCAUAAUGAGCCUGCGAGUUGUGGUGUCUGGCAAGGUUAAGCAAACGCGAAGCCGUAGCGAAAGCGAGUCUGAAUAGGGCGCUUAGUCAGAUGCUGCAGACCCGAAACGAAGUGAUCUAUCCAUGAGCAAGUUGAAGCUAGUGUAAGAACUAGUGGAGGACUGAACCCAUAGGCGUUGAAAAGCCCCGGGAUGACUUGUGGAUAGGGGUGAAAGGCCAAUCAAACUUCGUGAUAGCUGGUUCUCUCCGAAAUAUAUUUAGGUAUAGCGUUGUGUCGUAAUAUAAGGGGGUAGAGCACUGAAUGGGCUAGGGCAUACACCAAUGUACCAAACCCUAUCAAACUCCGAAUACCUUAUAUGUAAUCACAGCAGUCAGGCGGCGAGUGAUAAAAUCCGUCGUCAAGAGGGAAACAACCCAGACUACCAGCUAAGGUCCCUAAAUCUUACUUAAGUGGAAAACGAUGUGAAGUUACUUAAACAACCAGGAGGUUGGCUUAGAAGCAGCCAUCCUUUAAAGAAAGCGUAAUAGCUCACUGGUCUAGUGAUUUUGCGCGGAAAAUAUAACGGGGCUAAAGUAAGUACCGAAGCUGUAGACUUAGUUUACUAAGUGGUAGGAGAGCGUUCUAUUUGCGUCGAAGGUAUACCGGUAAGGAGUGCUGGAGCGAAUAGAAGUGAGCAUGCAGGCAUGAGUAGCGAUAAUUAAUGUGAGAAUCAUUAACGCCGUAAACCCAAGGUUUCCUACGCGAUGCUCGUCAUCGUAGGGUUAGUCGGGUCCUAAGUCGAGUCCGAAAGGGGUAGACGAUGGCAAAUUGGUUAAUAUUCCAAUACCAACAUUAGUGUGCGAUGGAAGGACGCUUAGGGCUAAGGGGGCUAGCGGAUGGAAGUGCUAGUCUAAGGUCGUAGGAGGUUGUACAGGCAAAUCCGUAUAACAAUACUCCGAGAACUGAAAGGCUUUUUGAAGUCUUCGGAUGGAUAGAAGAACCCCUGAUGCCGUCGAGCCAAGAAAAGUUUCUAAGUUUAGCUAAUGUUGCCCGUACCGUAAACCGACACAGGUGGGUGGGAUGAGUAUUCUAAGGCGCGUGGAAGAACUCUCUUUAAGGAACUCUGCAAAAUAGCACCGUAUCUUCGGUAUAAGGUGUGGUUAGCUUUGUAUUAGGAUUUACUC